rnacentral:misc_RNA from 1 species
UGGUUCUGGCAUCGAUGAAGAACGCAGCGAAAUGCGAUAAGUAGUGUGAAUUGCAGAAUUCAGUGAAUCAUCGAAUCUUUGAACGCACAUUGCGCCCUUCGGUAUUCCGUUGGGCAUGCCUGUUCGAGCGUCAUUUAAGCAUUCAAGCUCAGCUUGGUGUUGGGUGCUUGUCCUCCCCCGCGGUGGACUCACCUCAAAUGCAUUGGCGGCCGGUAUGUUGGCUUCGAGCGCAGUAGAAACGCGCCAGACGUCCUGACAUGCUGGUCCCCCACAAGACCAUUCUUUAUAGCUUGACCUCGGAUCAGGUAGGGAUACCCGCUGA